rnacentral:rRNA from 1 species
AUUGAACGCUGGCGGCAGGCCUAACACAUGCAAGUCGAACGGUAACAGGAAACAGCUUGCUGUUUCGCUGACGAGUGGCGGACGGGUGAGUAAUGUCUGGGAAACUGCCUGAUGGAGGGGGAUAACUACUGGAAACGGUAGCUAAUACCGCAUAACGUCGCAAGACCAAAGAGGGGGACCUUCGGGCCUCUUGCCAUCGGAUGUGCCCAGAUGGGAUUAGCUAGUAGGUGGGGUAACGGCUCACCUAGGCGACGAUCCCUAGCUGGUCUGGGAGGAUGACCAGCCACACUGGAACUAAGACACGGUCCAGACUCCUACGGGAGGCAGCAGUGGGGAAUAUUGCACAAUGGGCGCAAGCCUGAUGCAGCCAUGCCGCGUGUAUGAAGAAGGCCUUCGGGUUGUAAAGUACUUUCAGCGGGGAGGAAGGGAGUAAAGUCAAUACCUUUGCUCAUUGACGUUACCCGCAGAAGAAGCACCGGCUAACUCCGUGCCAGCCGCCGCAGUAA